GAUGAACGCUGGCGGCGUGCCUAAUACAUGCAAGUCGAGCGAACAGACGAGGAGCUUGCUCCUCUGACGUUAGCGGCGGACGGGUGAGUAACACGUGGAUAACCUACCUAUAAGACUGGGAUAACUUCGGGAAACCGGAGCUAAUACCGGAUAAUAUAUUGAACCGCAUGGUUCAAUAGUGAAAGACGGUUUUGCUGUCACUUAUAGAUGGAUCCGCGCCGCAUUAGCUAGUUGGUAAGGUAACGGCUUACCAAGGCAACGAUGCGUAGCCGACCUGAGAGGGGGAUCGGCCACACUGGAACUGAGACACGGUCCAGACUCCUACGGGAGGCAGCAGUAGGGAAUCUUCCGCAAUGGGCGAAAGCCUGACGGAGCAACGCCGCGUGAGUGAUGAAGGUCUUCGGAUCGUAAAACUCUGUUAUUAGGGAAGAAUAAAUGUGUAAGUAACUAUGCACGUCUUGACGGUACCUAAUCAGAAAGCCACGGCUAACUACGUG
rnacentral:rRNA from 1 species